UUUUCCCAGGUAAGCAAAACUCACCAACCCUAGUUGAUGGUGUCAGUUUGCAGGAGGUACUUGGCACUCUCAAACCAGCCCAAGUUGGCACUGGUGCCAGCUUGGUCCUGGGAGGCAUCCUGCGAUAUGCGGAAUUUUAAAAGCCAGAAGGCUGCUCUGAGCCACAGCCCCUAGAACACAAAAACCGCCCCUUUUCCCUGGGAAAUAAAACUCACCAACCCUAGUUGAUGGUGUCAGUUUGCAGGAGGUACUUGGCACUCUCAAACCAGCCCAAGUUGGCACUGGUGCCAGCUUGGUCCUGGGAGGCAUCCUGCGAUAUGCGGAAUUUUAAGAGCCAGAAGGCUGCUCUGAGCCACCGGCCCUGCAACACCAACGCUGCCCCUUUUCCCAGUUUGCAGGAGGUACUUGGCACUCUCAAACCAGCCCAAGUUGGCACUGGUGCCAGCUUGGUCCUGGGAGGCAUCCUGCGAUAUGCGGAAUUUUAGAAGCCAGAAGGCUGCUCUGAGCCACCGGCCCUGCAACACCAACGCUGCCCCUUUUCCCAGGUAAGCAAAACUCACCAACCCUAGUUGAUGGUGUCAGUUUGCAGGAGGUACUUGGCACUCUCAAACCAGCCCAAGUUGGCACUGGUGCCAGCUUGGUCCUGGGAGGCAUCCUGCGAUAUGCGGAAUUUUAAAAGCCAGAAGGCUGCUCUGAGCCACAGCCCCUAGAACACAAAAACCGCCCCUUUUCCCUGGGAAAUAAAACUCACCAACCCUAGUU